rnacentral:rRNA from 1 species
AGUGAACGCUGGCGGUAGGCCUAACGCAUGCAAGUCGAACGGCAGCACAGUAAGAGCUUGCUCUUACGGGUGGCGAGUGGCGGACGGGUGAGGAAUACAUCGGAAUCUACUUUUUCGUGGGGGAUAACGUAGGGAAACUUACGCUAAUACCGCAUACGACCUACGGGUGAAAGCAGGGGAUCUUCGGACCUUGCGCGAUUGAAUGAGCCGAUGUCGGAUUAGCUAGUUGGCGGGGUAAAGGCCCACCAAGGCGACGAUCCGUAGCUGGUCUGAGAGGAUGAUCAGCCACACUGGAACUGAGACACGGUCCAGACUCCUACGGGAGGCAGCAGUGGGGAAUAUUGGACAAUGGGCGCAAGCCUGAUCCAGCCAUACCGCGUGGGUGAAGAAGGCCUUCGGGUUGUAAAGCCCUUUUGUUGGGAAAGAAAAGCAGCAGGUUAAUACCCCGCUGUUCUGACGGUACCCAAAGAAUAAGCACCGGCUAACUUCGUGC